rnacentral:tRNA from 1 species
GGGCCAUUAGCUCAUUCGGUAGAGCGUCUCCCUUGCACGGAGAAGGUGGCCGGUUCGAAUCCGGCAUGGUCCACCA